rnacentral:rRNA from 1 species
GAUGAACGCUGGCUGCGUGCUUAACACAUGCAAGUCGAACGAAGCACUUUAUUUCAUUUCCUUCGGGACUGAUUAUUUUGUGACUGAGUGGCGGACGGGUGAGUAACGCGUGGGUAACCUGCCUUGUACAGGGGGAUAACAGUUGGCAACGGCUGCUAAUACCGCAUAAGCGCCCGGCAUCGCAUGAUGCAGUGUGAAAAACUCCGGUGGUAUAAGAUGGACCCGCGUUGGAUUAGCUAGUUGGUGAGUUACCGGCCCACCAAGGCGACGAUCCAUAGCCGACCUGAGAGGGUGGGCGCCCACCUUGGGAGUGAGACACGACCCAAACUCCUUCGGGACGCAGCAGAGGGUGAUAUUGCAGAAUGGGCGAAAGCCUAAUGCAGCGACGCCGCGUGAGCGAAGAAGUAGUUCGAUAUGUAAAGCGCUAUCAGCAGGGAAGAUAAUGGCGGUACCUUACUAAGAAGCACCGGCUAAAUACGUG